rnacentral:rRNA from 1 species
ACAAUGGAUCUCUUGGCUCUCGCAUCGAUGAAGAACGCAGCGAAAUGCGAUAAGUAAUGUGAAUUGCAGAAUUCAGUGAAUCAUCGAAUCUUUGAACGCAUAUUGCGCUCUCCGGCAUUCCGGAGAGCAUGCCUGUUUGAGU